rnacentral:rRNA from 1 species
AUGGUGACGAGGAGACAUCGCCGAGGUGGUUUAGGCAGGCGGCAGAAGCAGAACAAAGCAGAGCCUAGCACGGGUGAUGACUCGGCAUUGGUGACUUGGCGCGCGCGUGAGCAGCACGGCAAUGAGCGGCUCAACGUGCCACAGUGGCUCAUUGCGGAGACAAACAGAAACGGCGGCGACUCCCGCAGCAAGGCGACUCGAGGUUGUGCCAGCUCAGAGCGCGGGAUUACCUGCGGCGAGGCAGCUCUGAAUCAGUUGCAGCGGGUCAUGAUGGACCAAAUUGGCUGUUUGCAGGUGAAACGACGUGACUCGGAACAAAGGCAUGUCAGUUUGGAAACAGUGAGGCAACUUGUAGACGAGGCGAAUUGA